rnacentral:lncRNA from 1 species
UAAAGGCAUGAGAAGUUUAGAAUUCAGGCAGUGAUUCAAAACAAUUUAAUGUAUUUUUUGGAGCUGUUUCUUUGCAAAGCUUCCUCAUUUUUGGUUCUCUUCCUGGAAAAUUCCAGCUUUCUCACCUCUCCAAACUCAUAUCUCGGUCUACUUAUCUCUUGGAGAUGGCCAUUUUCUGACUGGGUUCCUGCUUCCUAUGCCAUAUUCCUGAAAGUGCUCUAGGUAGAAAGUUGAGGUGAUAAUGGGGCUUACUUCAUUUGUAUCCCUUCUCUAAGGAAUUAUAUGUUUUCUACUUGUUGUCCAAAAACUUUUUUAAAAAUAUUUUUUUCUCCAAUUUUUUAUUUGUUUAUGGUAGGAGGGCAUAUCUGGUAUUAGUUAUCCCAUUGAGGAUGGAAGUGGAAGUUCAGAAAAAUAAUUGUCAUUUAUUUGAUUUGCUUGAAGACAAAAGUUUUUACAGUGAUGUUAUAUGCUAGUGGAAAUGAUCUAACUAAGAAGGUAUAUUGGGUGAUGCUUCAGAGAAGGGAUAUUUCAGGAAAAAAUCCUUUGAGAAAGUAAGAAAGGAUGUGUGUAAGUUGAGUAGAGGGGUUGGAUCUACUGUCUCAGUAUUUAAAGUUAGAAUAGUAAAGUAGAAAAUACAAAGCUUUUGUUCUUUAUCUUAGGUAAAAAAUGGAGUUACUUUUUCCUCCAAAAUUAUGUCUUCACAUAUUUAAUCUCUGUAUUCUACUUUGCAUCUAUUUUCUUUGGGGCCUCUCCAUUUCCAGAGAGAUCAAAUAAAAGACGUUUAAGAAAAUUCUACAAGUAAAUGAUGUGUGGAUGAAUUCUGGGUUUUGGUGCUGGUCAACCACUUAUUUUAAGAAAUGAAACAUUUGUGUUCUAUUGCUUUCUAAUUAUGAAAACAAUGCCAUCUUGUGUAAAAAUAGGAUUAAUACCUAUAUAACUGGAUUAGUGUUAGGAUUAAAAUAAAAUAUAAUUAAUAUGCCAACCACAGUUGUCACUGAAAUACUAAAUUUCUUAUUUUCCCUGUCCUAGGUAAUGAAGUUCUUUGAAAAGAUGAAGUAGGAAGACAAUAUUAAAUACCAUGGACUGAAAACCUAUAAUGAAUUUAGUUCUUAUUUUUCCCAACUGCUUCUACUAGAAUUAUUCUCAGAUAAAUUUUCCCAAACUGAGAUCCCUUUACCUCAUUUUCUGCUCUUGGUUUCUUCUGUUGGUGGCUGUAUCUCUUGACCCUGGAAUCCUGCCCACAUAGUGGGUACCACGUGGUGGGCACCCCACAAAUACUAAGCUGGAAUGUCUAUAAAGUCUGUUGAAUACUGGUGCCUGUACAUACCUCCAAGUAUACUAGUAUCCUAUGGAACAAAAUCUACUGAGAACUGUUAUCAUGGAGAAAAACUUGAUUUCAGUUAACUAUCCUGGUUCUUUCCCUCUCUGCUGACACCUUCUGUAUCACAGUAAAUGGGAAACUUGGUUUGUAUAUCUCAGAAACAGUCUGUCAUAAGUUUGGUAGCUAAGCCUUUUAAAGUCACAAUCUGUAUAGGAUUUAUGUGCCAGUGACAUUGAAGGGUUAUGCAUUUCUCUGCUCUGCUAGCCCUUGGUGACAGGGCAACUAUAUUUCCUGUCAUCAGAGCUGCUGUCCUUGGCUCACAUACCCAUGCCAAUGUAUUUAGAUGAGCAGGCUGGGCAUCACUCUUGUGUGUACACAUCAGCUGCAGGAGGCCCAUUCUAGGUGACAGCAGUGUCACUUUGGUACCAUAGCCUCUUUUACACAUGAUCACACUUGCAGAUGGGAAAACCCAAAGCACCUCUGAAUUACUGGGUUGGAGGAAGUGACUGGGGGAAUAGGUGCCAAAUGGACAUCUUGACAUGCAGAGGGGGACAAAAGACCCUCAACGUGAGCACCAUAGAAGCAGAUAAAGCUUGUGCAUCCUGCACAGAUUCUCAAUGUGGCUAGAAUCCAGUUGCACGAAGCAGUAGUAAUUCAGGAACCAGAGAGAGGCAGGUGGGCUUACCCUUGGUGGUGACCCAGCAGAUCAAGACUGACCUUGACUGACCUUUGUCUGUUAGGCAGAGUUAUCACUGUGCUGGGAAGGUGAACUUGCUAUCAAGCCUUGACAGGAGGACUCUGGCUCUUACAUUCCUCACCCAGAACCCACCUUCUGCCACUCAUGUAGGAUGAUAUCCUCAUGUGACCAAAUCAUGCAGAAGGCUGGUAGAGGGGUGGGGGACUUGGAUAGCUUGAUAUGCAUUCAGAUAUUUUAAGAUUUACAUAUGAAAAUGAGAAAAAUCAGUUGAGAGAAAGACAGGGAUUAGAAUGGGUUUGGGAUCAAGAGGUGAGAGCUGAAAGUUGCAGGGAGAAAAAGAGAGUCUUCAAAUUUGUUGUGUAUUAAUGAGAAAGUAGAGAAAUGGGGAAAGAGGAUUUGGGGAAAUAAAUAUAAUUUUUUUUUGGAAAAUGCCAAUCAAACUGGAAUCAUGUUUGUUAGCAACUAUUUUCAAUUCCUGGACUGUGUUUCUUCGAAUGAGUUUUAGUGCCAAGAAUAGGCCAUGUGGACCCUGGUGUACAUUUGGGUUGUGUUUGAAUAGAGUCUAAGUUGUACCUGUAGACUUUUAACUGACUGGUACCUAUAAACUUGUUCCUAGAACAAAUGGCCAUUCAGAAGGAGCCAUUUGCAGGUUUGUCACAACAACUUGCUAUUGGUCACACCACAUGUACAACUUGAUUCCUGAUUCUGCUUGAUUUUGCCAUGUUUCAUAGCUUGGGACUGACAACAUCCACAACAUGCACACUGCUCCUAAGUUGUUCCUCAGAUGAGGUUGGCUCUGGACAAAACCAAAGCAGAUAUAUUCUGUUUAAAUUUUUUUUAAAUGUGCAUUUGUGUGUGUGUGUGUGUAUAUAUUUCUAUGUAUUUAUAUUAUAUACAUUUAUAUUACUAUAUAUUAUAUAUUUAUAUAAUAAUUUAUUAUAUGUUAUAUUAUACGUAUUACAUAUAUAUGUAAUAUAUAUAUUAUAUAUAUAUAAAAUAUAUAUAAUAUAUAUAUUUUGUAGUACUGGGAAUUGAACCCGGAACCUCACGCAUACUAGGCAAGCACUGUACCACUGAACCACAUCCUCAGCCCCAACAUGGCCUCUCUUUUAGCUUCCCUAUUCUGGGUAUUUUUGAAGCAGGACAGAAGAGGCUGGACACCUGAGAAAGUUUCAGGGAGCAGGUUUACUGACUGCAGUGUUCAGAGGUGGUUUCUCCUAAGAAUUUUUCCUGUGAACAAAGAUUUUGGAAAUUCUUUGAACUUUAUACCAGUUGGCCGGGGAGAAGGAUUUAGAGGUUCACAUAACAAGGGCUUUUUUGUUCCAUAUUUUUGUCUCAUUUCACAUGUUUUACCACAAAUCAGGAGUAAAACAUAGCUUUUGUAAGACAGAGCAGAGCAACAGGAAAUAGGGCAUCUAACCACCCUGAGCCCUUUUGCAGAGAUCUUGACUUACAUGACAAGAGGAGAAGCUUAAUUAUGGCAAGGGUCUUUUGGGUGGGUGUACCUGGUCUACUUCACUAUUCUCAUGUGAACACAGCUCCUCAUAAGUGUUCCCAGACAAAUCUGAUAUUCAUAUUUAGGUAUUUAUGACUUGACAUUUUGCCUCUGUGGAAAAAAAAAGGUAUAUUUAAAUGGACUAUCAAGUAAGGGUUAAGGCUUAAAUAAAAUAUUCCAGAUGAUGGAAUUUUAGAAUCUAUACAAAGAAGGUAUUUUGGGGGUAGAAAAGUUGUCUAUGUAGAACUAUUUGAAGACCACACCUCUUGACUUUUGUAUAUCAUAGGUCUGUCCUCAAUUUAACAUCCUUUUUGAGUUGGACAUUCGUCACCAUCCGGUCAGCUAACAACCAUUUCUCCUUUCUAAUGCCUUUCUGAUUUUGUUAGGGCAGGGGAGGCUCUUCCUACACUGGGUAAUUUGCUGUGAUACUAAAUUCAGUUGUCUGCCUCUCACUGAGACCAAAAAAGCCAGAUCCUUGCUCUCAUUAUCUCCAUGUGGCUGGGAGGAAUGCAUGUGCCUUAGUCCUGCGGUGACAGGCUAAGAGGUCAAACCCCAGUUUGACCCAUGAACAAGUGAUGUUGUAACUGGAAACAAGUUAUAGUCCAUUUUCUCAGCCACCUGGUUUCCUUAGUCCCCUGUUCCUACCAGGAUACCAUUCCACUUCUGUGGUUCUGUUUCCUAGACCUACAGAGCUGCUCUUAUGUCUGCUCAUUUCCAAAACUGGUUUUAUAACUUUUCAGUGGAUUCUUUGAACACCCUGGACCUUUUCAUUAAAUACUUUCUUUUGGUAUAUGAUAACAUGAUAAUAAAGCUGGUUAUUAUUGCAACCAAGAAUCCUGGACAGGUAAACUUGGAAAAGACAAAGCUAAAAUAGUGAUUAGUAGUUUCACAAACCCUUGCUACUCAAGAAAAAUGGAAAUGUUAAUCCUGUGUUAUUAAAAAAAAACAUAAAAAUGAUGUCCUCUCUUGCCUCCAAAGUUGGCUUCUGUAAACUAAAGAUCUGAAUAAAGGCAUAUCAUUUCAUCUGAUAUGUAUGUGUGUAUAUUUUAAUUAAAAUUUUCAUUUUGAGGUCAUUAGGGCUUCACAUCCAAGUAUGGAGAAAUAAUAUGGAAAGGUCCUAUGUACCCUUUGCCUAUUUUCUCUAAUUGUAAUACCUUGCAAAACUAUAUGGUAUGGUAUAACAACCAUGAUAUUGACCUGGAUUCAAUCCAUGGAUCUUAUUUGGUUCUCCCUAGCUUUGUAUGCUCUCAUUAUGUUUUACAUGCACAUAUGUGUAUUUCUAUACGGACUACCCUGUGCUAUGAUCCCCU